GCUCCCAUAGUUCAACGGAUAGAACAAGUGCCUCCUAAGCGCUAAAUCCAGGUUCAAUUCCCGGUGGGGGCACCA
rnacentral:tRNA from 1 species